AAGUCGAGCGGUAACAGGAAGUAGCUUGCUACUUUGCUGACGAGCGGCGGACGGGUGAGUAAUGCCUGGGAAUUUGCCCAUUCGAGGGGGAUAACAGUUGGAAACGACUGCUAAUACCGCAUACGCCCUACGGGGGAAAGGAGGGGACCUUCGGGCCUUCCGCGAAUGGAUAAGCCCAGGUGGGAUUAGCUAGUAGGUGAGGUAAUGGCUCACCUAGGCGACGAUCCCUAGCUGUUCUGAGAGGAUGAUCAGCCACACUGGGACUGAGACACGGCCCAGACUCCUACGGGAGGCAGCAGUGGGGAAUAUUGCACAAUGGGCGAAAGCCUGAUGCAGCCAUGCCGCGUGUGUGAAGAAGGCCUUCGGGUUGUAAAGCACUUUCAGCGAGGAGGAAAGGUUACUGGCUAAUAUCCAGUAGCUGUGACGUUACUCGCAGAAGAAGCACCGGCUAACUCCGUGCCAGCCGC
rnacentral:rRNA from 1 species